UUUCUUGACUAAUACUAUACGUAUAAAAACAUGUGUGUACAUGUAUAUGUAUGUAUAUGUAAGAUACACAUACAUAGUAGCAUACACACAUAUAUUUACAUGCAAACA
rnacentral:miRNA from 1 species